UACGUAGGUGGCAAGCGUUGUCCGGAUUUACUGGGCGUAAAGAGCGCGCAGGCGGUCGUUCAAGUCGCGUGUGAAAGCCCCCCGGCUCAACUGGGGAGGGUCACGCGAUACUGAUCGACUCGAAGGCAGGAGAGGGUAGUGGAAUUCCCGGUGUAGUGGUGAAAUGCGUAGAUAUCGGGAGGAACACCAGUGGCGAAGGCGGCUUCCUGGACCGACACUGACGCUGAGGCGCGAAAGCUAGGGGAGCAAACGGG
rnacentral:rRNA from 1 species